UACGUAGGGUGCGAGCGUUAAUCGGAAUUACUGGGCGUAAAGCGUGCGCAGGCGGCUCGUUGUGUCGGCGGUGAAAGCCCCGGGCUUAACCUGGGAAUGGCCGUUGAAACUGGCGAACUGGAGUGUGGCAGAGGGGGGUGGAAUUCCGCGUGUAGCAGUGAAAUGCGCAGAUAUCAGGAAGAACACCCGUGGCUAAGGCGGCUCUCUAGUACGGUACUGACGCUGAGACGCGAAAGCGUGGGGAGCGAACAGG
rnacentral:rRNA from 1 species